rnacentral:misc_RNA from 1 species
AAGUCGUAACAAGGUUUCCGUAGGUGAACCUGCGGAAGGAUCAUUAAUGAAUUCGCUCUUGAAGUUGUCGCUGGCCUCUAGGGGCAUGUGCACGCUUCAUCAGUACCAUUCAACCACCUGUGCACCUUUGAUAGAUUCGCGAAGUUGGCUGCGGAUAGGGGUUUGCCCCUUUUUAGUGGCUGACUUUGCGGUCUAUAUUACACACUCUUACAUGUAUGUUUUAUGAAUGUCAUUACUUUGGGCCAUGUGCCUAUAAACCUAAUACAACUUUCAACAACGGAUCUCUUGGCUCUC